rnacentral:misc_RNA from 1 species
CACUACUCUACACGCCGCCGAAUCGCCACACACGGACACAUUAUUUUCAGGAGCGAAGCGCACGUGGCCACCACCACAACGGCAAGGCCGCAGUCAACAACACCAAUUCGCGGGCACUCUCUUCCGGGCACGGCAGCAGACGCCACCGACCUGCAGGGCCGCAUCUGCGACGCGUGCGUAUACGCGGACAAAGCUUGGGAGAAGUACUGUCACAACCGACUGUUCUUUCUGCACAUUGCCUCCCCUGAUUUCGUGGUACUGGCUGCUUAUCUGCGUUGGCGCCACGCCGCGGCCUCACUUCACACGAACAACGACUUUAGGAGCCGGAGGGCUUCAUUUGGUCCCGCCGCGUGAAGGCUGCGUCCACCGCCGUUUCGGUUCCAGUAGCAGCGCCUCAGCCGAUCGUCGCUUUUCGACUCCUCACCGAAGAGCAGCGCGGCAUACGAGCGAGGCCGUAUCUUUUUUUUUUUUCGACAAACAGCAACUACGAAGAGCGGCAGUCACCCACCCGGUACCUGCAGCAGCGGUUUUCUUUCGACCGCCUCGAUCGCUCCCCCGAUAGUGCAACACGCCUGGUUAAGCAUUGAACUCUAUCAUUGAGUGGUCUUGAGUGACGUUCCUUUUUUUUGCGUGGUCUUCGGUGUGCGCUUCCAAUCCAGUAGACGCAAUCUGGCUCAGCGACUACGCGCAGUCCUUUUCUUCCGUCAAUACCGCUAUCACCACCUCUACUGCUACUUUCGCUCCAG